UGGAGGAAGGUUUUUUGGUUGUUGAUACAUCAGAGGACUUUGAAAGCCCGGCCCCCGAUUCCCUUGAUUACUAUUAUUCCAACCCCCUUGGUUGUUGUUUCCUCCACAAUUUCUAUUGUUAUUGCCACCCCACUUGCCCUGGUUGUUCUGGUUGCCCCAAUUCUGAUUGUUGUUCCCCCAGUUGCUAUUUCCUUGUUGGUUUUGAUUCCCCUAAUUUCCUUGGGAUCUCCACUACUAUUGUUGAUUCGGAGCACUGCCCCGCUGUCCUUGGUAGUUUUUCACAUAUUGAACUUCUUCACUCUGAUCAUCAUACCCAUCAUCUUGGUUGAAACCACUGCAACCUUGAUCAUAUUAAUCCGGAUUUCCUUGACUUUGUUGACCUCUUUGUCGCCUCUUGUUGACCAACAUGUUUACCCCUUCCAUGGCAUUCACCUAUCUUGGCACUUGAACAUGCUGCAAUUGAGCUUUUGCCAACGAGUUCAUUGUUGUAGUCAACUCUGCUAUUGUUUGUCCAUGCUUAUGGAGCUUUUUGUGUAGGUGAAUGACAUUGGGAUCACCUUGUGGCACAUUAGCUCGACUUUGCCAUGCCGAGGAAGUAUCUGCCAUCUCAUCGAGAAUAUCACACGCCUCAACAAUAGGAGUGUUCAUAAAGUUUCCCCCUGCUAGCUGGUUCACUACACACUGAUUGGUGGUGUUGAUGCCACGGUUGAAUGUUUGUUGGAUCAUUGCUUCGGUCAUGUCAUUGUUCGAGCAUUCUUUCACCAUCAUCUGAUACCUUUCCACGAUCUCAUGAAAUGGUUCAUUAGGUUCCUGUUUGAAGGCCAAGAUAUCAUCUUUCAAGGUCGCCAUAUGCCCCGGCGAGAAAAACAUGGCUAUAAACUUGUCAGCCAACUCAUCCCAUGUGGUGAUGGAAUGGUUGGGGAGUCUUUAGAGCCAGUCCAAAGCUUUCCCUCUAAGUAAAAAGGGGGGAAAUCUCAGUCUCAAUACAUCCUCCGACACAUUUCUAUGUUUUCUACCUCAGCAGGUAUCCACAAAACCUUUUAGAUGGUUAUAUGCAUUUUGAUGGGGAGUGCCUGUGAAGUACCCUCUUUGCUACAAUAAGGUCAACAUAACAUUUGUAAUCUAGAAAUUGCCCACCCGGAUCUGGGGUGGGACAAUUGCACUUGCUUAACCUUCAUUUGAAAGCACUCGAGGAGCUACUCGCGGAGGAACUGGAGGAGGGUAUAGAAUGUUUUCAUUGGCAUGGCAGCCUCUUCUUUGAGCUUGAGGUACUAGAGGCACCUCAUCUUCACCAUUAUCAUCUACCUCCUCCCCCUGGAGAACAUUUCCGAGAGGAUCAUUAUUUGCCAUUUUGUACCUGAAUCAAUUAACUCACACAAGUUAGUAAAAUAGAAGGAAAGAAAAACAAGACACACAAAUAGUCAGAUAGAUAGCCAAAACCGUUUAACUCCCGGGCAACGACAUCAAAAAGUAAUUGGCUCCAACUCUACACCACUAUAUAAUGGCAAAGAUUGGUCGAUGCAGCUUUUACCCGAAAGGUCAGGAUCGAUAUCCACAAGGAGCUAAUAUUGGCUGGGAGUUUAGUUUCUAUCCAAUCUAGUUAUGUGUGUUGCUCUUAAUUGCACUUAUAACCAUGUUUGGAUUUGUUUCUAUUCUACUUUUUAAUACUACUGAUUGCUGAAAAUAAUCUAAGUACAAUAUUUUUGUAAGAGUUUUCUCAAUUGAUAAAAAGCUCUAGGGAAGUGACUUACACCUAGGUGAGUAUCUAAUGGGAUCUAAAAUUUAGGACACGCUUGUUAUAUUUGAGGUCGUGAUAUAACCUUUGAACAUAAUUACUCACUAUAUACCUCUCGGUAGUUUGAGUUACUUUGCCCGAAUUGUCUUUCUAAGGCCCAAUUGGGUGUUCAAACUAUGCAAGCAAAAUUUACUCAAGUCGGGUAUUACUAUCUCUAGGUUUAACCCUUUAAUUGGGGCUAUCAAUCUCUUGAAUGCACCCUGAUUCCUUGUUAGUCUGAAUUUCCUAGACUUAGUCCCUCUUUCUCAACAAGAGUCUAAGUCAUAAAGGCAUGAAUCAGUGUUUGCAACCACCAAUUCUACAAUUAAAGCAUGAAUCAAGAUAAAUAUCACUAACCCAUAAACAAUUAGGCCCUAAAAUUAAAGACUCGUUAAAUACCCACACUAGGAUUGGGUCACAACCCUAGCUAAUGGGUUUAGCUACUCAUAAUCAAGGUAAAAAUCAAAGAUGGAGAUGAAAUAUAAGCCAUAAAUGUUGAUUACAAGAAUAAAAUCUAAGAUCAAUAACUAAAACUGCUCUAAAAUUACUCUAAGUGGUAAAAUACGGCUGUUCACGAGCUCCUCCAAGCAAAAGAUAACCUAAAAAUGUGAAAAAGAUCUAUUUAUACACAACUAAAAUUACUGGACAAAAAUACCCCUACGGAGGUUCCGCUGUCAGCGAAAUAAUUGGCACUUCAGCGCAUUGACUUUCGCAGCCGCACAAAAGCAGGAACACACCGCGUUUAUUCUCUUUUGUGCUUGGUCUGAACUUGAUUCCGUGGGGAGCGUAAAAGCUAUUGCCUCAGUGUUAGCAUCAACCACAGCCGCGCAAUUUGGACACGGACCGCACUCCUUAGUUAAGCUCAUUUUGCAGGGUCUCUGAACUUUGAUUGACGCUCUCAGCGGAAUUUGCACCGCAUCCAUGUCAGGUAUUCUGCGGCCGCGCUAUUUCGUCGCGGUCAGCAGUCCCUGUCUGCAUCCAAAACACCUUCUCUGAACCUCAAUUCCGCAGACCGCGUAAUUGUGACUGCCUCAGCUGUGAAACUUUCGCGGCCGCUCUUUUCCUUCGCGGUCAGCGCUUUUAUCUCAUCUUUGAACUUGUGCUGAUUUAACUCCUCUAUGAGCUGGUUAUGACAUUCUUGCCUCAUUUUGACCAAACCCUGUAGACAAGCACAAUAAGUCAAUUUUCGGGAAUACUUUCACAUAUUUUUUAUCCAAAACUUAAGCAAAAGAGAGCAUAAGAAAGGCUAGAAUCCAUAGUUAUUAACCAGCAACGCAGAGUCAUCAACUAUUCUCCAAAGUCUAAAAUCAGUCUGUAGCCUAUUCGAUACUCACCCGAGCCCCUCGAGCCAUAAACCAAACAUGCAUGCAAAUGUAAUAACAUCAACAAACUCACUUGUGAGAUCAAAAUACCAAAAUAACACAUAAAACUAUAAAUCAGACAUCAAAAUGUAUGAAAAUUUUGAAAAAAUUCAAGAACUUGAAAUUCUAUAACCAGUCUGAAUCACGUCAAAUCAACUCCGCAUUACACCAAAUUUUGCAGAAAAGUCAUAAAUAGUAAAAUGAACCUAUUCCAAGUUACAGACCAAAAUCCAAACCCGGUAUCAACAAAGUCAACCUACGAUCAAACUUAGGAAUUCUUAAAGCCUUCAAAUUACUAUUUUUCAACAAUUCACGUUAAAUUAAGUUAGGGACUUUCGAAUUUGACUACGGAUAUAUUCCCAAGUCCCAAAUCACGAUACAAACCCGCUGGGACCACCAAAACUCUUAUCCGAGUUCGUUUACCCAAAAACUUGACCAUAGUCAACUCAAAUUAGUUUUAAGGCAAAAUUUCACAUUUUUAAAACUUUUUUUACAUAAAAUAUUUCCGGAACAAGUUAUGGAUUGCGCGUGUAAAUCAAGGAGUACUGAAUGGAGCUAGUUGAGAUCUCGAAAGAACUAAAGGCUAGAACUCGAAAUGACAUAUCGGGUCAUCACAUUCUCCACCUCUAAAAUAAAUGUUCGUCCUCGAACGGACAUAGAAAAGUACCUGGACUGGUGAAAAGGUGUAGGUAUCUACUCCGCAUAUUCGACUCGGACUCCCACAUGGCUGCCUCGAUUGGCUGACCUCACCACUACACUUGAACUGAAAGAUAAAUCUUACACCUCAACUUCCGGACUUGCCGGGCUAGAAUGGCCACUGGCUCCUUCUCAUAAGUCAAAUCCUUGGCAAUUGGACAGAGUUGAAAUCUAAAUCAUGGGACAUAUCAUCUUGAUACUUUCGGAGCAUGUACACAUGGAACACUAGAUGGACUACUGAUAAACUAGGUGGCAAUUCCAGUUUGUAGGCCACCUCCCCCACUCUCUCAAGAAUCUCAAAGGGUUCGAUAUACCUAUGGCUCUACUUGCCCUUCUUUCUGAAUAUCAUGACACCCUUCAUAGGUGAAACUCGGAGAAAUACUCUCUCUCCAACCAUGAAUGUAACAUCACAAACUCUCCGAUCGGCAUAAUUCUUCUACCUAGACUGAGCUGGGCAAAAUCAAUCCUAAAUCAUCUUGACCUUUUCCAAGGCAACCUGAACCAAAUUGGUACGCAAUAAUCGAGCCUCUCCCAGCUCGAACCACCAAACUGGCAAACGGUGCUGCCUCCCGUAUAAUGCCACAUAGGGAGCCAUCUGAAUACUCGACUAGUAGCUGUUGUUAUAGCCAAACUCCGCAAACGGCAAGAACUGAUCCCAAGAACCCCGAAAUUCAUAACACAAGCGCGAAGCAUAUCCUCGAAUAUCUGAAUGGUGCGCUCAGACUGUCCGUCCAUCUGGGGUGAAAUGUUGUACUCAACUCAACCCAUGUGUCUAAAUCGCGUUGUACGUCCCUCCAAAAGUGUGAGGUGCACUACAUAACUCAAUCAGAAAUGAUGGACACUGGCAUACAGUGAAGACGGACGAUCUCACGGAUGUAGUUCUCAACUAACCACUCUGAAGAAUAGGUAAGUGCCACUAGAAUGAAAUGUACCAACAUGGUUAACCUGUCCACAACAACCCACACUGCAUCAAAUUUCUUCUGAGUCAGUGGAAGCCCAACAACGAAAUCCAUGGUAAUACGCUCCUAAUUCCUCUCAAGAAUCUCAAGCCUCUAAAGCAAUCCACUAGGCCUUUGAUGCUCAUACUUUACUUGUUGACAAUUCAAACACUAAGCUACAUAUGCAACUAUAUCUUUCUUCGUUCUUCUCCACCAAUAAUGUUAUCGCGAAUCCUGAUACAUCUUGGUGGCACCCGGAUAGAUGGAAUACCACGAACUGUGGGCCUCCUCAAGAAUCAACUCACGAUGCCCAUCCACAUUGGGUACACAAAUCUAACCAUACAUCCGCAACACCCCAUCAUCUUUAAUUGUAACUUGAUUGGCACCACUAUGUUGCACUGUGUCCUUACGGGAAGAAAAUAGGGGUAAUCAUAUGGAUACUCUCUAAUGUGCUCAUACAAAAAACACCGAGAGACUGUGUAAGCUAGAACAUGACUGGGCUCCAAAAUAUCUAACCUCACGAACUGAUUGGCCAAAGCCUGAACAUCUGAUGCUAGCAGCCUCUCCCUAACUGGAAUAUACGCAAGUCUACCCAUAGUCGUAGCCUUUCUACUCAAAGAAUCGACCACCACAUCGGCCUUCCCAGGAUGAUAUAAAAUGGUGAUAUAAUAGUCUUUUAACAGCUCCAACCAUCUCCAUUGCCUCAAGUUGAAAUCUUUUUUCUUGAACAAAUACUGUAGACUCCAAUGAUCCGUGAACACUUCACACGAUACGCCGUAGAGGUAAUGCCUCCAAAUCUUCAGUGUAUGAACAAUGGCUGCAAACACUAGGUCAUGAAUAUGGUAAUUCUUCUCAUGAACUUUCAACUGUUGUGACAUGUAUGCAAUCACCCUUCCAUCCUGCAUCAAUACUGCACCGAGCCCAAUACGAGAUGCAUCACAAUACACUAUGUACGAUCUUGAACUUAUGGGUAAUACCAAAACUGGAGCUAUAAUCAAGGCAGUCUUGAGCUUCUAGAAGCUCAACUUACACUCAUCCGAACACUAGAAUGGAGCACCCUUCUGGGUCAAUCUAGUCAAUGGGGCUUCUAUGGAUGAAAACCCCUCCACGAACCGGUGAUAAUAACCCGCCAAACAUAGGAAGCUCCUAAUCUCUAUAGCUAAAGUAAUUCUAGGCCAGUUCUGAACAGCCUCAAUCUUCUUAGGAUCCACAUUAAUGCCCUCUACAGAUACAACAUGCCCCAAAGAGUCGACUGAGUCCAACCAAAACUCACACUUUGAACACUUAGCAUAUAACUGACUAUCUCUCGGAGUCUGAAGUACAACUCUAACAUGUUGCUCAUGUUCCUCUCGACUGCGGGAGUAGAUCAUGAUAUCAUCAUUGAAUACGAUCACAAAUGAAUCCAACUAGGGACAAAUGACUAUCUCUCGGAGUCUAAAAUACAACUCUAAGAUGUUGCUGAUGCGCCUAUCGACUGCGGGAGUAGAUCAUGAUAUCAUCAAUGAAUACGAUCACAAAUGAAUCAAAGUAGGGAUUGAAUACCCGGUUCAUCAAAUCCAUGAAUACUUCUGGGGCAUUUGUCAACCCAAAUGCUAUCACUAGGAAUUCAUAAUGCCUAUACGGAGUCUGGAAAGCUAUCUUAGGGAUAUCAAAUGCCCUAAUCUUCAACUAACAGUAGACAGAUCGCAAAUCAAUCUUCGAAAAUACUUUGGCACCCUGAAGCUAAUCAUAUAAGUCACCAAUUAUCGGUAAUGGAUACUUGUUCUUGAUAGUCACAUUGUUCAACUAUCGAUAGUCUAUACACAUCUCAUCAAGCCAUUAUUCUUCUUCACGAACAACAUAGGAGGCGAGACACUAGGUCUAAUGAAUCCUUUAUCAAGAAAUCUUGCAACUGCUCCUUCAUUUCCUUCAACUCAGGUGGCGCCAUACGAUAUGGUGGAAUAAAAAUAGGCUGAGUGCCUAGAACUAAAUCAAUACAGAAGUCAAUAUCCCUGUUGGGUGGCAUCCCCAGUGGAUCGACAGGAAAAACCUCUAGAAACUCAUGCAUAACUGAAUCCAUGGAAGGAACCUCCGCACUCAAAUCACAAAUAUAGACAAAUAUGCUAGAUACCCCUUCUCGACCAUAUUUUGAGCCUUCACAUAAGAAAUAACCUUACUAGUGGAAUGGACAAGAGUCCUCCUCCACUCUAAUUGGGGCAACCCGGGCAUGGCCAAGGUCACCGUCUUGCAUGAUAAGGUGACAUCCCAUAUAUACCCAAGAUAACAUCAAAGUCCACCAUAUCAAGAAGUCAGAGAUCUACACUAGUCUUAAGGAUCCCGAUAGAAACCACACACAAGCGAUAAACGCAAUCUACAACAAUAGAAUCUCCUACAGCAAUGGACACAUAUACAAGAGCACUUAAAAAAUGACGAGGCAUAAUUAGAUAGGAAGCAAAAUAGGAUGACACAUAGGAAUAAGUAGAGCCCGGAUCAAAUAGAAUUGAAGCAUCUCUAUGGCAAACUGGAAUAAUACUUGUGAUAAUGGCAUCAGAUGAGUCGGCCACAAGUCUAGCUGGGAAUGCAUAAAAUCAGGGCUAGGCCCCACCACCCUAACCUCCAUCUCUCAAACGGUCUCUAGCUGGCUGGCCUCCACCUUUAACCGCCUAACCUCCACCUCUAACAGCCUGACACUUACCUAUUGCUGGUUGAGCAGGAAGUGAAGCAACCGGUGCCAGAACCAUGACACGAGAACUCUAUUGUGGCACGCUGCUCAAAAAUCUCAGACAGAACCUCUUGAUAUGACUAGUACCCCCACACUCAAAGCACCUAUCAUGUUGUUGUGGCUGCUGAAGCUGAAACUGACUCGAAAGGCAAGAUAACCUCAGUGGUAGCUUUAGAUCGGAGGCGCACUAAUAUGAGCUGAUGGUAUACUAUAGGUUGGCUGGCCAAAAUUGAGAUACAUAAGGGCCAUGACUACCCGAAGCACUAUGGGAUACCUGAAACGCUAACUGAAAUGGCCUAGGAGGAUGGCCUCUACCGAAAGUACCCCUACCUCUAGAUGAGGCACCAUCGAAACCAUCGGAAUAAGGAGGCUUCUUAUCAAACACUAGCCCCCUCUCCUAACCACGAACCAUCUCGAUUCAUCUAACAAUAUCCACGGCCAUCUGAAAAGAGAUAUCAUCUUCAGUCUCCUUGGCCAUCUGUAGCCUAAUACUAAAAGUGAGCCCAUCAGUGAUUCUCCUCACUCUCUCCCUAUCAUUGGGGAGUAAAGCAAUGGAAUGACAAGCUAUGUCUACAAAUCGAGUCUUAUACUGGGUAACAGUCAUACUACCCUGCUGAAGAUUGUUGGUUCCCCAAGUACAUGCAAGUAUACGUGGCCAUCAAGUAAUAAAGUGAUACAAAAGUCAGAUGUCGACCCCAUAGAGACUUAGAUUAUUCGUUAACUAAGCAAACUAAAAUUAAAUAAUUGUCCAAGAUAAUCAAAAAUAUUGUUUAUCUACUAAACAUCUCUUGCAAAUAUUGAACCAGUAAUUAGCUAAUUUAUUAGAGAUGUAAAUGGGUGUUUUGGAUUUUUCUCAGAGGAGAUAAAGAUUCCAGGGUUGUGGUCGGUUUGUCAAUCCUAUUGGGUUCGAAAUUACACAUAUUAAUCCACAUUACCUAUGAUUGCUAGUUGACUGGAUCGUUUAUAUAAAUAGUAUGUUCCUACAAUACUAUUCAUGUCUAUCCAUAAUAUAUCAACCCUAUAUUUCUAUGGUAUUGAAUCUAUAAUGAACGAAUAUAAUACGGUAUUCAACUAAGCAAGACUAUUAGGUAUAUUCCUAUCCUAACCGCGAAAUCUUUCCCCGAGCCAUGGGUUUAGAAACAAGAUCUCUCUAAUCCUACUCUAAUCUAAACACGGCAUUCCCAAGAAUAGUAUAGAAGUAAAUAGAACUCAAAUGAUGGCCAAAUAAUUAAGCAAUUGCACAGAAUUGGAGAAAUAACCAAAGAUGAUAACUCGAAUUAAUGGUAAUGUAAUUAAUAAACUUCAAUAUUCAUGACAACCACAACCCCAAAACGCGAAGUUUAGUUCUACAUAGACGUGGUAGCAAAACAACAAUUCAUCCAAAUAAAUAUAAAGAUUACUAUGUUUUAUGGAAGAAAGAUGGAAUCUGAUGAAUUCUGGCCUCCACGGCGGCUCCGUGCUCUGCCUUUGUCCAAAGUCUGUCUCCAAAACAUCCUCCUCCACAAGUCACGUUCUUUUUUCACAAAAGUGAGUUUAAAGACUAUUUAUAUGGGAUAGGGUUAGCAUGGGGUGAAAUAAUACAAGCCCGCUUGGAAACAGCCUUUUUAGGUUAGCUCGUUCACUCUCUCAUGCGCAUGCGAGAGUAAAUGAGCGAAGUUCUUCUCUUUUUCUUUUUCUCCUAGGUCUCUCGUGCAUUUCCAUGCCUUUUUGCUAUACUUCGCUAUUUAUUUUCAAGCUUUUCCUCAAUAGAUCGUUCACUCUCUCGUGUGCACACGAGAGUGAACGAGCAAAUUCCUUCUUUUGUCUUUUGGUCCUGAAUCAACUUCUUUUGCUCACAUUUUGUCCAACUUGCUCCUACACAUAAGAAUGCACAUACUGAGCAUAAUUCACUACAAAAACUCAUAUAACCUACCAUAACCACAAAAGUUAUAAGAUGAAAGUACACCGAAAAAUAUGUAUUUUGGCCAUUUAUCAAAGACGCACAAACUACCUGCAGUAAUCCUCUAUCAGAGUGAAAGGAAUGAAUUGCUCCAGAAAUAGUUAUGAAAACUGAUCCCAGGUAAGUGCAGGUGAACCAGCUAGUCUAGUCAAUAUAUAAUCUCUCCACCAUCUUUUGGCAGAACUAGUCAUCUAAAACACUGCAAAGUCGACCCCAUUGGUCUCAACAAUGCCAUUGUUACACAACACCUUGUGGCAAUGGUCCAACAAAAUUCUGUGGGCCCUCAGAAGAUGCACCGCUGAAAUGAACAAGAAAGAGAUUGGUGUUUUUGUCCAGCCUCAACAAGGCCUCAAAAGACAUAGCGGGCCUGUCACCGGUGUGUGCUGCAACAACCGGCUGAACCACCCCAACUGGCUGGGCUGCUGGAGUUUGAUAUAGGGGAGUCACCUGCUCCGGGGUAUGAGUAGGGGGAGUUUGUGAUCCUCCCCUAGCUCGAGAGACAGUUGGUGCCACAAGAAGUGCACCGAUCUAGGCCAUACUCUCUAUAAGGCCCACCAAGUGGACUAGAGUGUCCUGAAGCACUGUAGGGUCAAUGAACCCCUUUGGGACCUGAGCUGGUCCAAGGGGCAUGGUCUGAGCGGGGAUCACCUCCUCAUUAUCAAUUUGAGGCUCCCCUGCGGGUGUUGAGGCUCGAGCUCUAGGCUGAACUCUGCCUCUGCCUCUGCCUAGGCCUCUGGCUCGACCUUGACCUCGGCCUCUGCCCCUGUAGUAGCUGCAGCAGGGGGCUCUGGCUCCUAUUCAGCUACACAUGUUGUGUGUGUUCUCGCCAUCUGCUAGAGAACAAGAAUAGAAUGGUUCAAUCAUCAAUGAUAGAAUGAAAUCGCAUGAUAAAAAGAAAAAGAAGUGAAUUUUUUUCCUAAACUCUAGAGCUUCUAGAAGAUAAGUAUAGACUUCUCCGUACCGAUCUUCUAGACUCUCCUAAGCUUGCUCAUGAUUUGUGAGACCUAGGAAACCUAGUGCUCUGAUACCAACUUGUCACAACCCAGAAUUCUCACCCUCGAGACCGUGAUGGCGCCUAACAUUUCACUUGCUAGGCAAGCCAACAUUAGAUAUAGUUAUUAACCAUUUUUAACAAUUCAAGCCAAAUGAAGACCAAUAAGCUUAAUAAACUGAAAUAAAUAAAUAAACUAACAAACAGCGAUAUCCAAAUACAACCCCAAAACUGGUAUCACGAAUACACGAGCAUCUAGAGUACUACAAAUAAUAGUUUGAAUAAAAACAGAACUGUCUGAAUUAAAAUAAACAACUAAGGUAAUGUAGAAGGGGAUUUCAGGGCUGUGAAGGUUGUGUAGCUAUACCUCAAGUCUCUGUCGAGCAUUGGAUCCGAGCAAAUCUACUGACCGCCGCUAGGCCCAACUCCAAAUUCUCGCUCUGCAAAAAGUCAACACAGGGCUCGCCUAGUCAAAACCUGUGUCCAAUGGUAUAUUUUAACUAUCCAUGACCCCACGAGUUCAUAUAUGUGAUUAGUUUUAAAAUUCGAGUCCAAAUCGAUCUCAAAAGUCAAUUUCUUAUUUUUUUUAAAACGUGACAAGGUUUCACAAUUUUUUACAUUGAUUCACAUGAUUUGAUGUUCAAAUACAAGAUAACUUGAUGGAAUAUGAUUAUAAAUAGGUUAGAAUCACUCACCCAAAGUUUGUAGAUGGAAUUCCCUCUUCAAAAUCAUCUCCUACAGAGCCUAGGGUCCAAAUUAUUAAAAUGAGGCUAAAAAUCCCGUCCUUCAGCUUUUUGUACAGCCGCAAAUGCGAUGCAAAGAAUUCAUCACAAAAGAGAACUCUCCACAUCUCUAUUUUCAUCGCAAUUGCGAUGACUAGUUCGCAAAUGCGAAUAUUGGAACUUCGCAAAAGCGAUCAACUGAUCGCAAAUAUGAUCCCCCACCGAGCCUGGAUAUGUAAUUUGUUUCGAAAUCUAACCUCAAUUUGAGGUCUAAAUCUCAAUAUUACAAAUUUCCUAAAUUCGACCCAAACCCCUAAUUUCUACCUUAAAAUUCAUAGAUUUGAUGUUAGAAAGUAAUUUAAAUUGAUUGAAAACUAGUUAAAGAUGCUACACAAUCAAUUUGGGAAGAAAUGUUUUUUCAAAAAUCGCCUCUAGAGAGCUUAGGGUUGAAAAUGCUGUAAAAUGAGCUAAGUCCCGAAUUUUUCAAACUUUUACCCAGCUGCAGAUAUCACAAUUACGAACUCUUGUUCGCAAUUGUGAUGGACCCAAGUGCGAAAUACUGAUCACAAAUGCGAUUAGUGUAUCAGUCCCCAAGAAUUCGCAAAUUUAAAAUAUACCUCGCAUUUGCGAAGUCCCCAUCCAUCGCAAAUACAGUGCAUGCUUCGAAAAUGCGAACCUAUUCUCACCAACCACUGUGUCGAAAAUGUGACUUUGAGAUUGCAUAUACGAUCCCAGACAAGUUUUCAAAAGCGAACUUUACUUCGCAAAUUGCAAAGUGCCAUCCCCCAGGACAUGUUCGCAUUUGUGAGCCUUGCAUUGUCACACCAGCAAUUGCAUUGCUUCAACAGUUCCAAACCAUUCUGCGAUGCAUCCGAAACUCACCCGAACCCCUCGGGCUCCGCACACAAGUGUAAUAACAUCCUACAAACUUGCUCGCUACCUCAAAUAAUAAAAAUCGAUCAUCAAAACUCAAGAAUUUCAACUUAAAACUGAAUUUUGACAAUCUUUCAUAUAAUGCGCUGAAAUGUGCUCAGGCCACUCCGAACCCCAAUCAAACAUGUGUACAAGUCCAAAAACAUCAUACGAACCUAUUGGAAUUGUCAAAAUACCAAUCUGAGGUUGUUUACCAAAAAUGUUGACCGCUAUCAACUCUAGCCUCAUUUUAAGUCAAAUUUUAUUUUCUUCAAAAUUUCACAUAAAAGCUUUUUGGAAAGUGUCACGGACCAUGCACGCAAAUUAAUAAAUAUAUAAUGAAGCUAUGAGAGAUCUAAUACAGAUAAAUUAAGGUUAGUACUCAAAAUAUAGGUCAAAAUCUCUUCAUGUUGCACCGUGUAGAAGUCCAAAAUAUAUGACUUAUCCUCAUGGUACUUCCGAAGCAUGAAGACAUAAAAUAUCGGAUGUACCCCUGCUAGGCUAGGAGACAAUGCAAGCCUAUAAGCAACCUCCCAAACUCUCUCCAAGAUAUCAAAUAGGCCAAUAAACCUCGAGCUAAACUUUCCCUUCUUCCCAAAUUCAUAGGCAACAUUCGGAGAAGAACUUUCUCACCUACCAUGUAAGCCAUAUCUCGAACCUUCCGGUCCGUAUAACUCUUUUUCCUGGACUAAGUUGUACGAAGUCGCUCCUAAAUCACCUUAACCUUCUCCAAAGCAUCACGGACCAAAUCAAUGCCACACAAUCUAGCCUCACUAGGCUCAAACUAACCAAUCAGCGAACAGUAUCAUUCCCAAUAUAUAACCCCGUACGGAGCCAACCAGAUGCUCGACUGAUAGUUGUUAUUGUAGGCGAACUCCACUAGAGGAAAAAAUGGGUCCCAUUGAGCACCAAAAUCAAUAGAUCAUGCCCGCAAAACGUCCUCCAAAAUCUGAAUAGUGUGCUCAGACAAUCCGUCCAUCUGAGGAUAAAAUGCGAUACUCAAAAAUGUUGGAAAUGGGUAUGCCGUGUAGGCGGAUAAUCUCCUAGAUAUUGUCAUAUUUCCUGAAGGUCCGUGGUAAGCCUACCAUAAAAUCUAUAGUGAUGUGCUACCACUUCCACUCCGAUAUCUAUAAUAUUUGAGUCAACCCGACCUAUUUAUGAUGUUCGUACUUCACUUGUUGACAAUUCAAACACUAAGAGACAUGAUCAACAACACCUUUCUUGAUUCUCCACCAAAAAUACUGAUGUUUCAAGUCAUGGUACAUCUUCGUGACACCUGGUGAAGGGAAUAGCGUGAAUCUUGAGCCUCUUCAAGGAUCAACUCCCUCAACCCAUCAACAUUUGGAACACAAAUCUAGCCUUGAAGCCACAUAACACCAUCAUCUCCAAUCACAACCUCCUUAGCACCACCCCGCUGCACUGUGUCCCUCAAUACAAACAAGUGAGGAUCGUCAAACUUGUGAGCCUUGAUACAAUUCAGCCACUAAGACUGUGCCACAAUACAGGCAAGAACCAGUUUAGGCUCCGAAAUAUCUAACCUCACAAGCCGAUUGGCCAAAGCCUAAACAACCAUGGCUAGUGUUCUCUCCACUACUGAUAAAUAUGCCAAACUGCCCAUGCUCUCAGCAUUCCUACUCAAUGCAUCAGUCACUAUAUUCGCCUUCCCCAGAUGAUACAGUAUGGUAAUAUCAUAGUCUUUCAACAACUUUAACCAUGUCCACUGCUGCAAAUUAAAGUCCUUCUACUUGAACCGGUGCUAGAGACUUUGAUGGCCGGUAUAUACCUUAGAUGGAAUGGCAUAGAGAUAGUGCCUCCAAAUCUUCAACGUGUAAACAAUGGUUUUCAACUCUAAAUCAUGCAUAUGGUAAUAUUUCUGAUGAAUCUUCAACUGACGAGAGGUGUAGGAAAUCACCUUACCAUCCUGCAUCAAUACUGCACCAAUUCCAAUACACAAUGUGUAACAAUACACUGUGUAAGAUCCCGAACCUAUAGGCAACACCAACACUGGAUUUGUAGUCAAUGAAAACUCACCUCACACUCGUCGGACCAUCUGAAAAGAGCACCCUUCUUGGUUAACCUGGUCAAUAGGGCUGAGAUAGAUGAAAAUCCUUCCACGAACCGGCGAUAAUAUAACCCGACAAACCCAUGAAGCUCCGAAUCUCUAUAGCUGAAGUGGGUCUAGGCUAGUUAUGAACUACCUAAGUUUUAUUAGGAUCCACCUUAAUUCCCUCAGAAGAUACAACAUGUCCUAAAAAGAAAACUGAGUCCACGCAAAACUCACACUUUGAAAACUAGGCAUAUAAAUAAUAAUCCAUCAAGGUCUGAAGUACGAUCCGGAGAUGUUGCUCAUGAUCCUCUCGACUAUGGGAGUAAAAAAAAUAACAUCAAUGAAAACAAUCACAAAGGAAUCUAGAUAGAGCUUGAACAUCCGGUUCAUCAAAUCUAUAAAGGCUACUAGAGCAUUAGUUAAGCCAAAUGACAUCACCAAGAACUCGUAAUGACCAUAACGAGUCCGAAAAGAUGUCUUGGGGACAUCCGAUGCCCUAAUCUUCACCUGAUGAUAGUCAGAUCUCAAAUCAAGCUUGUAAAGAACCUUGGCACCUUGAAGUUGGUCAAAUAAGUCAUCAAUCCUCAAAAACGGAUACUUGUUCUUGAUAAUGACCUUGUUCAAUUGGCGAUAAUCUAUUCACAUUCGCAUCGGUUCAUCUUUCUUCUUUACAAACAAUAUUGGUGUACCCCAAGGCGAGACAUUAAGUCUAAUGAAUUCCUUUUCAAGCAAAUCAUGCAACUAUUCCUUCAAUUCUUUCAACUCAGCUGGGCCAUAUGGUAUGGUGGAACAAAAGUGGCCUGAGUCCCCAGAAUCAAGUCAAUGCAAAAAUUGAUAUCUCUGUCGGGUGGCAUCCCUAGCAAAUCUAUAAGAAACACCUCAGGGAACUCAUGCACAACUGGAACCAAAUCCAUGGAAGGAAACUGUGCCCUAAAAUCAUGGAUAUAGGCCAGAUACACUAGACACCCCUUCUCAACCAUAUGUCGAGCAUUCACAUGUGAAAUGAACCUGCUAGUGGAAUGACCAGGAGUCCUUCUCCACUCCAAUCGAGGCAUCUCGGCAUGGCUAACAUCACAAUCUUGGCGUUAUAAUUUAAUAUAGCAUGCUACGGUGAUAACCAAUCCAUGCCUUAAAUCACGUCAAAAUCCACCAUAUCAAAUAAUAGAAGGUCAACCCUACUCUCACAGAUCCUGAUAGUGACCAAAAAAGCACGAUAGACCCGGUCUACCAUAAUAGAAUCCCCAACGAGCAUAGACACAUAAACAAGAGCACUUAAAGAAUCACGAGACAUAUCAAAAUAUGAAGUAAAAAAGGAUGACACAUAUGAAUAAGUGGAACCCAGACCAAAUAAAAUGGAUGGAUCUCUAUGGAAAACUGGAAUAAUACCUAUUAUGACUGCAUCUCUAUGGCCUCUCGAUCUGCCUAGCAAUCUCUAUAACCAUAGUGAAGGAAAUAUCAUCCUCGAUAUCUCUAGCCAUCUAUAGCCUGAUACCAUAAGUAAGGCCAUCUAUAAACCUCCACACUCUCUCCCCAUCUCAGUAAGGAUCAGGAUAGCUACAUGGCAUGAUAGAUUCACAAAUCUGGUCUUGUACUAGGUAACAAUCAUGCUACCCUACUGUAGGCGCUCAAGCUAGGCGUAGGUCCUCUCUUUGAGUGACCGGUAUGAACUUAUCCAAGAAUAGAUGUGAGAAAUGAUCCCAAAUAAGUGGAGGUAAACCUGUUGAUCUGCCCUGAACAUACUCCUAUCACCACAUCUUGGAAGAGCCAAGAAUUUGAAACAGUGCAAAGUUGACUCUAUUAGACUCCACUACACCCAUGUUGUGCAAUACCUUGUGGCAACGGUCCGAGAAAUCUUGUGGAUCCUCAGAAAGUGUACCACCAAAACGAAUAGGAAAUAGCUUGGUGAACCGGUCCAACCUCUUCAUGUCCUCGGACAACAUCAGAGGUCCCUCUCCAGACUGUGUAGCAACAAUAGACUGAACUACUCCUACUACUGGAACUGUCGGAGUUUGAUAUUCGUGAUCCAUCUAUCUGGUGUAUGAGUAGCAGUAGUCUGGGCUCCUCCCCCAGCCUGAGAUACGGCUAGUACCAUAGGGAACACACCGUCCUAGGCCACACUCUCCAUAAGUCCACCAAGCGAACUAGGGCAUCCGAAAGUGCUGGGGUGGCAAUGAGCCCCUCUAGGACCUGAGCUGGUCCAACAGCCACGGUUUGAACAGGGACCGCCUUCUCUUGCUCGAUCUGAGGCUCUGCAAUAGGUGUUGCUGCCUUUUUUCUAGGCUGAGCUCUGCCUCUACCUCUGGCUCUCUCUCGUCCUUGGCCCCUACCCUUUGUAAUGGCUGCAACCUGGAGCCCUGACUCCUCAUCGAUUAUGGAUGUUGUACGUGUUCUCAUCAUCUAUGAAAGAACAAGAAUAGAAUGAUAUAAUAAAAUCACACGAUAGAGAAAGAAGUAAAAUUUUCCUAAAGCCUUAUAGCCUCUAGAAGAUACGUAUAGACGUCUCCAUACCGAUCCUCAAGACUCUACUAAGUUUGCUCAUGACUCGUGAGAGCUAGGCAACCUAAUGCUCUGAUAUCAACUUGUCACGAUCCAAAAUUCCAACUGUGGGUCCAUGAUGGCGCAUAACACCGCUUACUAGGCAAACUAACACAACAGGGUAAUACAGAAAGAAACAGGUAGAUAUCUAAUAAUUGAACGAUAACAUAACAUAAAACACCCCGAGAUUUGGUGUCAAUAGUACAUGAGAAUCUAAAUCUAGCUAAUUAAAAGGGUUUAAAAGAUUCACAACUCUAUCUGAAAUGAAGCAGAAACAGUACAAUUGUAUACGGCCAAAAUCGGGGAGUUCAAUUUUGGGGCAAUUGUGGCACUCCACACCCGUUCUUGGGAAGCUUGAAGCAGAAUUUGAAAUCUGACCCCAAGGUGCGUAUCUCGAGGGAGCAUAUCGAAAGUUCACUGUGGUUAGUCUCGGAGCAGUACAAAUCGAUGAUCGUCAUGGAAAGGCAGGAAAGUUCCGAAGGAUACGUGGUUAGAGCUGACUAGGUCUGCAAGAAUAGUACAAAUCCGUACUGAGCCAUUAUACAGAUAUACCAAUAGCAUUUUCUCGUUAUUAUUAAACAUGUACUAUAUUGGGAUUCCCCCUUUAUAUAUAAAGGGGACUCUUAUCAUUUUGUAGAAAGGGAUGAAUAUUGAAUAGAAUAGAAUAUUCUCUGCUUUUCUUGCCUAAACGUGCUCAACAAUUACUCUACAGAUUUAUUGCAUGUUCUAGUAUUGUUCUUUAUUUAUUGCCCAUUAUUAAGCGCAAAAAGCCAUCCUCGAGGCCUUUGAUAUCUUUGUUUCUUCAUCAAUUGUUCAUUGCUAACUGCCCUAACUAGACCCCAAGGCCCCCCUAUUCCAGCCAGCUCGAGGCCCAGUCUUGUGACAACAUUGGUUUGCAUAUCUUAUUCUCUUUUACGCUUAGCAUCUAUUGCCUAACAACUAGUAUUGAAAUAAAUCACAUAUAUUUAGAACCACAAAAUCAAAUAUAAUUGUUAAUAGCAUUUUCUAGGUAAAUAGUUUGGCGCCCACCGCGGGGCUAGAAAUAAUAGUGAUUGUUUUGGUGCUAGGUUUCUGAAAACACAAGUUAUUCUUCACACUUUUUCUUGUCCAAGAAUCUUUGAUUUCAGGUAAAAAAAAUGCCUAACUCAGCAAAUGCACACGAAAACAAUGGUAUUAGGCUUCAUGAAGAGAAUGGUAGAGAUGCCGGUGUACCGCCACAAAACCCUGGAGUGGCACCAACACAAAUCCCCAUCGACGUGAGCUUACGUAACACUGUGCAUAUCGAUGUGAGCUCUCAUACCAAUGGAAGUGUGCGCGGGGAAAACCAAUAUGAAGCGCAAGGGACUCCAGCACGGGAGGAAAGAUAAGUUAUCCUUCAAGUCAUUUUUGAGAUGUUACAAGCACAACAAGUGGCUAUUGCUCAACUACAAAAUGAUGAAGUUUCCAACCAAGAAUGGAGCAAAAACAGUGUACGGGGAGCAGCAUGCAGCAAGAGAGAUGUUUGCAGUGCACGACGUGGCACCGACAUCGAUGCCCUCUACAUCGAAGAAGCCAAAGGACAAGCAAAUAGUCAAGUAGCAACCAUAACCUACAUUCUUGGCUGCACCCGAAUGAAUAAAUAAAGGACCGUGCCACGUCCUUAGAGCAAGCGAUUGAAACGUAUCGAGGCUCAAACUCUAUCAUUAUUAAGGUACAACCCUCUCCCUUUUCAUUUAUGUUUCAUACUAACUUAUUGCAUGUGUUCGAUUAAGAUGAAUCGAAGCACCCUCCAUCUUGAAGGCCCCGGGUUUUAAAGCAUGUGUUACGCCCUUUUUCCCUUAGAUCGGAUUUUCUCCCAAAUGGGUUUUAUCGGCUAGGUUUUUAACGAGGCAACACCUAUAUACUCCGAGGAAACAAGUAUUCAAGGCUUCUUUUCAAUCAGCCUCGAAUACUGGAGGCAUCACCCGCGGAGGUUACAAUUUUGGGAAAAACAUACUUCACGUCCAAAAGGGCCCUGAUAGGCAAACUUCGUAAUGGGCCAAACGGUCAAACAAGCCAUGUCCAUAUAGAAUAGUCGAGCCCGGGCAGCAAAACAUGUACGCAUGUAUCGACUAUUUGAAGAAACAUUCAGAAUAUAUCAAAAAUUCUUUGUGUCUCAUACAAGCUCUAUACUUACAAUCCUACGGGAAACGGCUCAAGGGCCAAAACACCCCAAAAUAUCCGGGGACUGUCACUGACAGACAACACGUCUGAGUCAUCGAAAACUCGGACCUAUAAGACCUCAAAGAGGCAUCUCCCUCGAAACAAAGGCCAAGGUCACUAUACUCGGGGACUAACUCUUCGGACAAGUUCGAAGAGUUAUCAGGAAGCAAGUCCAAGUAACAUACGCGAAGGCUACGACCAUAUUAAAGACUACGGUCAGAUAAAGGCUACGGCCAAAUAAUACGGCUCGGAGACGUCCGACUUCCGCAAAAAUAGGUUAAAUCAGGAUACCCUCGGCAAAAAGCUAAAUACAAAGGGCUUCGAUAAAUUCAGCCCUCGAAAAUUCCAAAGGCUUCGAUAACAUCGACCCUUGGAAACACCUCAAGAGGUGUUCGACUAUGUUUACACAAACGAAUUACUAAUAAGGUUCUGAUAUGUUAAACCUUCAAAAAACCCACGGGUACGAAAAAUACAUGCUAAGGCAUAAUAAAAAAUUUACUAAGUCUUUUAAGCCAAAAUGAGGGGAAAAUUAUAUAGCCAUACUAAGAGGCCGAACCGGCCCAACUUAAAAGAGCCUAAUGGACGAGAUAUAAUAGCCUAAGGGCCAACUUAAAAUAGCCUAAGGGCCAACCUUAAAAGAACCUAAAGGCCGAGAUAUAAGAGCCUAAGGGCCAAUCUAAAAGAGCCUCAGGGCCGAUCCACGGAGCCUAAGGGCCAAUAUGUUGAAAACCUAAGGGUCAACAAGCCCGAGUCAAAACUUGAUUCGAGGACCGAGCCCUUAAAUGGUCAACUACUAUCAAUUACUCAUCAAGCACAACCUAAGGGUUCUUAUCAUAAAGUCCAACAUAUCGAACUAAUUAUCGGCAAGCAUCAAAACUCAAAACAUAAACAAAUACACAAGUAAGUGGAAAUUUAUAUAAACGGAAAACCAAAGGGUUCCUUUUUUAUUAUAAAUAAUGGUACAAAGAUACAUUUUCAACACUCCCACAGGGAGCCCUAUACAAAGAAUAAGAAAUAAAAACCUAAUCUACGCUCGGGAACUUAGCCUUUCCCCCUUCGAGGACUAUGUCUAUAUCAGCUCCCUCACCGGCCUCCUCCUUGUUGUCUUCAACAUCGGAAACGAGGAAUAUGGCAUCGAACUUAUCCGCCUUGGCCUGCUCUAUCUCCUUCGAGAGAUCGAAGCCUUUACCAUGAAUCUCCUCAAGAGUUUCCCUCCGGGAUCUGCAUCAGACAUAUUCAUUACUUCUCCCCUCUCGAUUGAAAGCCCCCCCCCCCCCUAACUUUGUACGAGCUUCAGCAGCACCUUUCAGAUAGAUGGCCACCUUUUUAUUGGCCUUUGCUCGGGCCUCAUCCGCUUCGGCUCGAGAAUCCAUAACUUUGGCCUUUAUCUUCAAAAGACCUAUUUCAAGCCUAGCAAUCCUACUCGUCUAGACCGAGUUGCUUUUUUGAGCAUUAUGAAGUUGUAUCUCGAGGGCAGAAACCUUAGCCAAAGCGUUCCUUUUUGGCCACAACAUGAACAUCUAUAUGUGCCUUCAAUUCGUUGCGUUUAGAACCUACUAGCUUCGCCCCGAAGGCGUUCCAGCAUCUCUGUCUUUCUCUACAACUGAAAUACCAAAACGUUAGUUUUCGAAAAUGGGAAAAGAAGCAUGUAUUCCUUCAAAAUAGAGGUUACCUGUUUCUCGAGGUUGCCUUCGUAAUCAUGACUUUUGUUCAACUCCGAUCGAAGAUGUAUCAGCUCUCUUGUCUUCUUAUCACAAAGAAGCCUGGGAGAUUUUUCCCCAUUCAAGGCUUUACGCAACUUAGCCUCACAGCAAAGUAGCUCAGACUUGAGCUUAUCGAAGGCCUAUGAGAAAGAUGGUUCAGUUAAAAAGAAGAAAGUAUGAAGUUAGAAAAGUUACAAUGACUUCAAAACUCACCACAGAGUAGAGUCGUUGAGCUUCCUCGAAGGUCAAUUUCGUAUCUACUGACCCGGUCUCAUCGACCUUGAUAGAGCAACCGGAGGCGCUCUGAUUGGGCGGAGAUACGUCGAAGCCCAUUUCCCUCAGAGUACUUCCCGACGUCUGAGAACCAGCUUCCAAAUUAGGUAAUGAAGGACCUUUGCCCCUUCUCUCUUGUGGAAUCUCUCCCUUGAGACUAAGGGCCUCGAGCCCAGUAGGCUCAAGAUUCUCGGGAGGCCUCCUGGUUCGAGCCAUAAAUGUAGAAUCAUCCUCUCCGGGUGCAUUGAUGUCCUCAGAACAACCGAUAAAUAUGAGAUCUUCGCCAGCGGCAACGUCCUCCUCGCGUCCCCGGGCAGGUCCUGCUUUGCUAUGGUAAUUAUCGUCCUUCGGGGAUCUUUUUCUUUUAUUAUCCUUCCUUUUCUCAGAAAUUGAAUACCCUUCCUCCUCCUCAAAAGGGGACGAUCUUGCCUCAAAAAACUCACUGAUGCCUACAACAAAGAAAUUAGUGUACGUAAAGGAAAGUACUCCUCGAGAGAAGGACUGCAUAGCACGUACCAUGGUGCUUAGCCUCCCAUUUGCCCUUCAACUAAACUCUCCACUUGCGCUCGUCAUAAGUCAAAGAGGCCGCCAGUUUAUGGGCUUAUUCUCAAGAUCGAGUACCUCAUCUGGCAUCCACGGGAUCGCAGCGGAAAAGGAAAGAAAAUGUUCUUACGGAAUCUAGCUCCAUCGAGAACAAAAAAUAAUAGAGUACAGUAUAUCACUUACGCUUGAAAUUCUAUUUCUCGGGCAACGGUAGUAACUCCACAGGAAUAAUAUCAACAUCCCUCACUCGAAUAAACCGACUCAUCCACCCUUGAUCCUGUCCUCGUCAUCACUAGCAAUAAAGGGCUUGGUGGAUCAAAGUCGUAGUGUAAUUAGACCUCGAUGAUGAAAAGGCCGGUACAAUCUAAUGAGGUGGCUAAGAGUGAACUCAAGCUCGGCCUUUUCAGCAAAUAAAUCUCAUCAUCAACACGAUCUACCAGAAAGACAGAUGGAUCUGAGCCAAAGUAACUCAAUAUAUUCUACAAAAUUCAAGAACGAGUCGGUCGAGAGGACCCAACGUAAAAAGGUACGUGUACACAUUCAGAAACCCCUCUACGUGGGCCAUAAUAUCCUCUUCCCGGGAGGGUAUCUGCAGCCUCACCUUUUCUCCCCAUCUGCAGUAUCUCCUCACGGCCUCGAGGAUCUAUCUUCUAUUGAUCGAAUAAACCUCGAUGCAUGUUCUUGAUGGCCCGGAAUGUUGAGAGGUCUCUCUAUUAUAAAAUCUCCCAUCGUGAUGAAGCAGUUCGAAGUUAGCUCACCAACCACCGGCGGUAUACCACUGGCCGGACGGGAAGCAGAGGUGGGACUUCCCUCUUUCUAGCGAGCGAAUUUGGCCAUUGUAGCCAUAAUUCCUUCAAAACAAGAAAGGGAAGAUGAAAACUCAGGCGAAAUCUUUGGUCUGAUGCGGCACUAGAACUAGCGCAAAAAAAGAAACUCUAUAGAGAAAGGUAGUUGCACAAAGCGGCAAAGCCCUCAAUGAAAGGAAAGCAAGUAUAUGUAAGAAGAGAUGCGCUAUUCAUUAACUUUGAUAGCUAAUCAGCUCUGACAAAGCAAUUAUGACUUUUUGGGAAAAUGUACUGAUGGGGCCAUUUCGAUCACUUUAUGGUCAUGUCACAGGAAUGAUGUCACCAUACAAUGUUCGAAGGAUCAAGAAGUCAAAUUGAUUCCUUGCCAACCCGACCUAGAGAAGGUAUGCAAUUGAAAUAAGAACAACCCGAUCUCAAGGGUCUCUGUUACUCCAAGACAGAACUCGAAGGAGUUAAAUUCUAUUUCGAAGCUUGAAUUUGGCAUGAACACUAAAAGGCAAAACUUUGAAAACAUUAAACAAGAAAAUCCUUUGUAUUCCAAAAAUAUAAUUAAAAAGGUGAAUUUACAAAACUCCCACGCGGAGUCCACAUACAAAAGAAGAAGAAGUAAAAAUAGAAAAGGUGACCUAUUCUUCAUCUUCACCACUCCCCGAGCUACUUGCAGAGCCCUCGUCCGAAGUAGUUAGAUCUGUUGACUCCUCCUCCAAGGCCUUCGCUUCAAUCUCGGUAGAGAGAUCGAAACCCUUGGCAUGCACUUCCUCAAAGGCCUGCCUCCGAGCUUCUAAUCGAGCAUGUGCAAUGGCGCGAGCCAGUUUGAGCUCGGACUCUUGAGAUAUCUCCUUGGCUCAAGUAUUCGUUGUAGUAGCAACUUCCCGAAAUGACAAUAUGAGUGCAUCAGCUUCAGACUUGGCCGUGGAUAACGCGACAGCUAACUCAGCAUGAAGCGUCUUGAAUUUGUGAGCUUUCUCUUUAGAACCUUGAAGAAGACCCUGAGUUGAGGCCAGAUCCUCUCGGAGAGUAUCCUUUUCCGAGGCCAUGCUAUCCUUGUGCCGCUUCAGCUCAAGGAUUUCGGCAUCUUUGGCAGCAAUCUCUUCCCGAAGCUGCCCCGCUAGGGCAUUUUUUCGCUCAAUCUACAAAUGCCGAGUCAAGGUAAUAAACACCAAGUUAUGAAAACAAAAGGUAAGCUCAUAAAUACCAAACUACCUGCUCGAUGAAGUUGGGCUGCUCUUGGAGCACUUUCUACGAGCUUGCUCGAAGGUUGUUCAAUUCCUCCUCCCUUUGGAUGUAUAGAGUCUUUAGCUUAUUUGAAUCUGAAGUGAGCUUCUCGAACUCCUCCGCACAAUGAGUCAGUUCAGCUUAAAACUUGGAGAAGGCCUGGUCGUACAGCAUCGCGACCUAUAGUACGAGGGGAAGAAGUUAGAAAAACAAAGAUCAAAACUCAAGUCACAAAGGUUAUGUCAAAAAUCACAUGUUGUUGGAGUUUUGCAGCCUCCUCGAGAAUGACUGGGGCAUCGAUAUCAGCAUCCUCUCCAACACCGGCAAAAAAUCUCUAAAUGCAUCAUCCUCUCCCUGUGAAUCCCCUACAUCGGAAGUCUCUCUGUUCUGGGCAUCUCGUAUUUGCCCUAGGGAAAACGACGGGGUUGGUUGAAGAUCACCUAUGGCAUCAACCUCUAUCGGGGCUUCCUCUCGCCCUCAAAGGGCCUCAGAGCUAGAUUCUCUGAAUGCACCAACCAAGUACUCAUCGGCACAAGUUGUAUCCUGUUCAAUGGUCAGCUCAGGGACUGUAUCCAAACCCUCCUCAAUAUGAGGUGGGACCGCAUUGGCUAUCUCUAGCCCGGUAACCUUCAAAACAUCAGUGUUUUAUAUUGCCCUAUGUACUAGUGGGCAACCGUCAUCAUCUUUGUCUUCAGGACGAAGACUCUCAGUAGCUGCCAAAGUUAGGACCGUUGCAUUGGCCCUAGGCUUUCGAGCCUUAGCUCUCUUUGGUUUUGGGGACUCCGUCAGUGUCUCUUUUUUCUCUUUCUAUCUUUGGUGGGUUUUUGGGUCUCCUUUUUCCUAGAAGAAGGCGGUCUCAUUGAAACGGCUUCCCCGAGGCCUGUACAAGCAUAAAAUGUCAAACAUACUGCCAAAAAAUCUAUUUAUAAGGAAUUUAAAAGUGAUAGUGGUGAGGGUGUACCGUGAUUUUUGGCCUCCCAUCGAGUUUUGGCCAAAUCAUGCCAAACGCGCUUGUCGUAUGAGGAGGUGGAGUCUAAAAUUCUAACCCAUCCUGGGAGGUCCUUGAUUGCGUUGGGGAACCACACGGUGGCUAUGCAACCGGAGGAGAAUCAAUUCAAAAAAGAAAGGAAUUAGUUAGAAAGAGGAAAAGAGGACAUCUAGAUGAUAAAACAUGCUCGGUGUAACGACACUUAUGCCUCAUAUUCCAUUCCUCAAUGAAUGGCAUUUUCACGGCAGGGAUGAGGUCCGAAGUCCCGACUCAAACGAAGCGGCGCAUCCACCCCCGGUCUUUAUCUUCUUCGAUACUAGCAAAAAAUGCUUUGGUAGAUCGAUGACGUAGUUUGACUAGGCCCGCUCGAUAGAGACGAGGGCUAUACAAUCUAAUCAGAUGAUCGAGGGUGAAAGGCAUCCCCUCGACCAUGUUUGAAAAAUAUCUAAUCAAAUAGACGAUUCUCCAAAAAGAGGGAUAAAUUUGACCAAGCGUCACUCGAUAUUUUUGACAAAAAUCGAGGAUCAAGGGGUCUAUCGAUGGAGAAGAAGAAUCUACGGGACCUAAGGUAAAGGGAUACGUAUAUACGCUGAGGAAACCAGCCCUAUGUGUAGUUAUAUCCUCUUCCGAUGAAGGGAUAUCUACUUGAACCCCCUCUCCCUAAUGGCAAUCUAUUUUCACCUUCUUUGUGUCGGUUAUUAGACUAAUGUACCGAUACAUGGGCUUGCAUCAUCCCGGUACCGAAGAAGGUCUAUUAAUUUUGAAAUCGAAGGAUGUCUUGAGGGGCCCAGAAAUACACUCCUCAAUACGAGGAGGCGCUAUCUUUUUGCUCUUAGACGAGCGUGACGAAUAAGGGGCUUCCUCUUUUUGAGGUAUUGUCUUAGCAGUUUUGGCCAUGGUUAUAACAAAGUUUCAAGGUAAGCUGACGAAGAAGUGAACACAGAAGAAGGAUGAAGACAGGGAACUGUUAACAAAGAUUUGAAGAUUUGAAGAUGUUGUAAAGGUUUAAAAGAUAGAGAAUUGGAGUAUUUAUAAGAUUCAUCCAAGUGUAUUGGAGGAGUUGAAAUAACGACCAAUAGCGGUUCGUGGGCUUUUCGAGAACCGUGUUGACAAGACUUGUGAUGACCUUUUGGGUCAUCACUUAUUUUAGAAAUAAAUUUUGUAUUCUGAGGCCUUAAAAACCUCUUUUUAUCUCAACUCAAUUUGCGUGCGCAGUCCGGUCAUGUAUCUGGAAAGCCAUUCUGUGAAAAUCUGUAAAAACAAAUGAUAAAUUUUGCUUUUAAAAUGAAUUUAAGUUGACUUUGGUCAAUAUUCUUGGUAAACGGACCCGGACCUGUGAUUCGACAAUCUCGUAGGGUCCGUAGUAAAAUUUGGGACUUGGGCAUAUGCCCAGAAUCGAAUUCCGAGGUCCCAAGCCCAAGAAAUAAAUUCUUAAAGAAAAUUAUUUUCUGGAAUAUAUAAGAGUUUUUGGAAAUGAAAUAUGUUUGAAAUUGAUGGUAUCGGGCCCGUAUUUUGGUUCCAGAGCCCGAUACAAGUUUUAAAUAAUAAUUAGGUUGAAUCUAUAAAAUUUGGUAAAGAUCGGAAUUGGUUUGGUAUAAAACAGACUUAAAGUUGAGAAAUUGGAAAUUUUACUUAAAGUUUAGAAAUUGGAAAUUUUGGUGUUCUUGAAUGAUCUCAUGAAUUUGGGGUUUAAUUCAUAGUUGUUGAUGUUAUUUUGAUGAUUUAAUUAUACAAGCAAGUCCGUAUGAUAUUUUUUAGGUUGGUGUGCAUGUUUGGUUUGGAGCCUCGAGGGCUCGAGUGAGUUUUGGAUAGGCCACGGAGUGGGAUUGAACCUAGGAAGUUGUAGGUUUCAGCUGGUAUGUGUUGUAGGCCCUAGUCUCGCAAUUGCAUGGUCAGGUGUCGCAAUUACGAGCCUGGCAGGCUUGGGAAUUGCGAGGGUCACUUCACAAUUGCGAAGUAUGACCUGGCCAGCCUUUCUCGCAAUUGCGAGCAAUUCUUUGCAAAUGCGAAUAACCCAGAUAUCUCCUUCGCAAAUGUGAGUUCGCAAUUGCAAACAUCUGAUCACAAAUGCGAAGAUAGCAAGUUCCUUAAGGGUUCGCAAUUGCGAACCCUGGUUGCAAUUGCGACAUCUGCAACCUGCUAAAUCAUAACUUAAACGCAUUUUCAGCCCUUUUUCAAACCUUUUCAAAACCUAAACACCUUUGGGUGAUUUUCAAAUACAAGUACUCAUCCAAAUCGAUUGUAAGUCAUUUCUAACUCGUUUUCAUUAAUCUUUAACAUCUUUUUCACAUGAUUUCAACUCAAAAUCAAGGGUUUUCAUGGUGGAAAUUGGGUGUUUUGGGUAGAACUUAGGUUUUUCAAAUUUUGGGGAUUUGGACCUCGAUUUGAGGUCCGAUUUCAAAACAAAUUAUAUAUUUGGGUUCGUGGGUGAAUGGAUAAUCAGGUUUUGGUUCGAACCUUGGGUUUUGACCAUGUGGGCCCGGUGUCGAUUUUUGACUUUUUGGAGAAAUCAUUGGAAAACUUAUUUUCAUGUAUUGGAAUUGAUUCAUUUAGCAUUUAUUGAUAUAGUUAAGUAACUUGUGGCUAGAUACAAAUGAAUUGGUGGUGGAAACGAGAGGUAAAGCGGUAGUUGAGGCUUGAAUUGUGUUCGUGGCAUCGAGGUAAGUGUUUGGUCUAACCUUAGCCUGAGGGAUUAGGAGUUGUGUCUUAUUUGCUAUAUGUUAAUUGUGGAGUACGAUGUAUAGGCAUGGUGAUGAGUAUCUAUACGUCAGUGUCAAGCAUGCCUGUGGGUCUAGUGUUGUAAUUGUUGUGACUCCGUUGAGAUUUAUUCAUGCUUAAUAAAUUGAUUAUCAUUGUUGGUUCCCUUGCCGGGAUGCUAUUGUUUAUGAUAUUGUCUCCCUUGCCGGGAUGUUAUUGUUUAUGAUAUUGUCUUCCUUGCCGGGAUGUUAUUGUUAUGACAUUGUCUCCCUUGCCAGGAUGUUAAUGUUUACGAUAUUGUCUCCCUUGCUGGGAUGUUGUUGUUAUACUCUUGUUCCCUUACCGGGAUUUUUUUGUGAUUGAUGUUGAUUUGUAAAUGGGAUCGGGUUGCACGCCUUUAACAAGAUAUAUGAAAUGGGAGUGGGUGGCAUGCCGCCACAGAGAUAUUUGAAAUGGGAUCGGGUCGCACGCCUACAACAAGAUAUAUGAAAUGGGAGCGGGUGGCACGCCACCACGGUGAUAUUUGAAAUGGGAUUGAGUUGCACGCCUGCAACAAGAUAUAUGAAAUGGGAUCGGGUUGAACGUCUGCAACAAGAUAUAUAAAAUGGGAUCGGGUGGCACGCCACCACGGUAAUAUUUGAAAUGGGAUCGGGUUGCACGCCUGCAACAAGAAAGAGAUGAAAGUGAAUAUCAUGUUUAUUCUUCUUAUUCUUGUUAGCAAUUGAAUUUUGGUUUCUUCACAUUCCUCUUUGGUAUUCUGUUGUUAUCUGAUACUCCCCGCAGCAUGCUUUUCUCCUCCCAUCUUUAACUGUAAAUAUCUGCUUUUAUUUUUUCGUUGUAUAUGAUAUAAUUGCACUGGUUUAUUUGGUAGUCUGGUCCUAGCCUCGUCACUACUUCGCCGAGGUUAGGCUAGGCACUUACCAGCACAUGGGGUUGGUUGCGUUGAUACUACACUCUGCACUGUGUGCAGAUCCCGGUGCUACAACUUUUGGACCGCAGUGAGGGUGCUGUCUUCAGUCCAUUCAGGCGACCCGAGGUAGUCCUGCAGGUGUCCGGGGCCCUGGCAUCUCCUCCUAUCUUUCUAUACUAUUUCUUCUAUGUAUUUCUGAAACAACUUGUAUUUAUCUUUCGGACCCUUAUUUGUAGUACUUUUAGACAGUCUGUAAAAGUGUGACACCAGAUCUGGGUAGCUUUUUAGUUUAUGGAAUUGUAUUGAUACUAAUAUUGAACUGUUACAUUUUGUCUCUUUCGCUUAUUUAAUUCCGCUGCUUAUAUGAUGUUUGUUCACCAUUGUUAAAGGAUUAAAAUAUAUAAAAAAGGUUAAGUAGUUGGAACAAUUGGCUUUCCUAUCCUUCAUUAGUAGGCGUCAUCAGGACCCCUGAGAGUGGGAAAUCCAGGUCGUGACAAGACCUCUGUACAACUUUUCUAUCACAUCAUUUAAUGAUCUCACGUGGCUGACAUCAUAAUGGGGGUAUCGAAGAGGCAAGAACUUAAGAUCGUUUCUUAUCAUUUCAUUCUAAGAAACGCGGGAACUAUCUGUAUACGGCCAAAAUUGGGGAGUUCGAUUUUGGGGAUACUAUGGCACUCCACACCCGUCCUCAAGAAGCUCGAAGCUGAAUUUGAAGUGUGACCCCGAGGUGCGUCUCUCGAGGGAGCAUAUCAAAAGUUCACUGUGGUCAGUCUCGGAGCAGUACAAAUCGAUGAUCGUCAUGGAGAGGCAGAAAAGUUCCCAAGGAUACGUGGUUAGAGCUGACCAGGUCUGCAAGAAUAGUACAAAUCUGUAUUGAGCCAUUAUACAGAUGUACCAAUAGCAUUUUCUCGUUAUUAUUAAACAUGUACUAUAUUAGGAUUCCCCCUUUCUAUAUAAAGGGGACUCUUGUCAUUUUAUAGAAAGGGAUGAAUAUUGAAUAGAAUAGAACAUUCUCUGCUUUUCUUGCCUAAACGUGCUCAACAAUUACUCUACAGAUUUAUUGCCUGUUCUAGUAUUGUUCAUUUAUUGUUCUUAAUUUAUUGCCCAUUAUUAAGCGCAAAAAGCAUCCUCGAGGCCUUUGAUAUCUUUGUUUCUUCAUCAAUUGUUCAUUGUUAACUGCCCUAACUAGCCCCCAAGGCCCCCCUGUUCCAGCCAGCUCGAGGCCCAGUCUUGUGACGAGCAUUGAUUUGCAUAUCUUAUUCUCUUUUACGCNNNNNNNNNNNNNNNNNNNNNNNNNNNNNNNNNNNNNNNNNNNNNNNNNNNNNNNNNNNNNNNNNNNNNNNNNNNNNNNNNNNNNNNNNNNNNNNNNNNNNNNNNNNNNNNNNNNNNNNNNNNNNNNNNNNNNNNNNNNNNNNNNNNNNNNNNNNNNNNNNNNNNNNNNNNNNNNNNNNNNNNNNNNNNNNNNNNNNNNNNNNNNNNNNNNNNNNNNNNNNNNNNNNNNNNNNNNNNNNNNNNNNNNNNNNNNNNNNNNNNNNNNNNNNNNNNNNNNNNNNNNNNNNNNNNNNNNNNNNNNNNNNNNNNNNNNNNNNNNNNNNNNNNNNNNNNNNNNNNNNNNNNNNNNNNNNNNNNNNNNNNNNNNNNNNNNNNNNNNNNNNNNNNNNNNNNNNNNNNNNNNNNNNNNNNNNNNNNNNNNNNNNNNNNNNNNNNNNNNNNNNNNNNNNNNNNNNNNNNNNNNNNNNNNNNNNNNNNNNNNNNNNNNNNNNNNNNNNNNNNNNNNNNNNNNNNNNNNNNNNNNNNNNNNNNNNNNNNNNNNNNNNNNNNNNNNNNNNNNNNNNNNNNNNNNNNNNNNNNNNNNNNNNNNNNNNNNNNNNNNNNNNNNNNNNNNNNNNNNNNNNNNNNNNNNNNNNNNNNNNNNNNNNNNNNNNNNNNNNNNNNNNNNNNNNNNNNNNNNNNNNNNNNNNNNNNNNNNNNNNNNNNNNNNNNNNNNNNNNNNNNNNNNNNNNNNNNNNNNNNNNNNNNNNNNNNNNNNNNNNNNNNNNNNNNNNNNNNNNNNNNNNNNNNNNNNNNNNNNNNNNNNNNNNNNNNNNNNNNNNNNNNNNNNNNNNNNNNNNNNNNNNNNNNNNNNNNNNNNNNNNNNNNNNNNNNNNNNNNNNNNNNNNNNNNNNNNNNNNNNNNNNNNNNNNNNNNNNNNNNNNNNNNNNNNNNNNNNNNNNNNNNNNNNNNNNNNNNNNNNNNNNNNNNNNNNNNNNNNNNNNNNNNNNNNNNNNNNNNNNNNNNNNNNNNNNNNNNNNNNNNNNNNNNNNNNAUAGGAAAGUGACUUCUAAGGCCUACAAAUGGGAUGCAGCUUUACCUUGAGUGACUGUCUGGUAUCCACUAAGUACCUCUCAGGACUCCGUUGGUACCAACAUUAAAAUUUGCACAAGAAGUACAAAAGCGUAGUUUGAGUACAACCGACCCAAUAUACUAAGUAAGUGUCGAGCUUAACCCCGAUGAGGUAGUGACCAGGAAAAUACAGAAAAAACAUGUAAGGUAUCAAAAGAAAUAACAUGGUAGGGACUUAUAAAAGAGGAAACAAUCGGAACAAUAAGUAAAGAAUCACCAAGUCUUUUUCCGAAAUAAGCAAUGAAACUGCCAAGUUAAAUUCACAAUCCAAGUAUCAAGUAAAACAAUCAAGCCAACAAAAUGUACGGCAUCACCCUUCAUGCUAAUACUCUCAUCCUCUCCAUAUAACAUAAAUAAAGCAUGUGCACGGUAUCACCCUUCGUGCUUUUACUCUCAUCCUCACAUGAUAAUGAUAAUAGCAAGCAAGUGCACGAUAUUACCUUUCGUGCUUUUACUCUUUUCCUCACAAGAUAAUAUAAAUGCAAUUGCACGGCAUCACCCUUCAUGCUUUUCACUCUUCCUCACCAAGCAAUUACAACAAUGGAAGCAAUCCAAUUCCAAUAACGACAUUUGAAUACGACUCAUAUAUAAGGUUCUUUCAACAUUUAGUGCCAACAAACAACCAGCAACUUCCACAUUCUCAUCACCCAAGGACACAACAAUCUUAAUAUAAAAAAUAAUAUGAAAGCGGAAAAUCAAGUAAUUAACAAACUAUUUAUGCAUGGGAGACAUAUUUUACGAAAUAACAUGGUGCAAGUAAGAAAACUUUUACCCGCAUGUUUAACCCAUGACCCGUGCAUAUACACCGGCCAAAUUGCAUAUACUCCGCCCCCAACACAUAAUUCACAUAGCAAUUAGACUCAAUUCUACCUUAUUUCCUUCGAAUAAAAGUUAACCAAGACACUUACCUAUUUUCACAAUCAAAUCAACAAUCAAGCACGGCUUUGCCUUUCGAACAAGUCUCCAAACCAAUUACCAAUCAAACAAUUCAAAACAAGCUUUAAAAACAACCCAUAAAUGAAAAAUAUUCAAUUGAUCAUUUUUUAAAAUGUCAACAAAAGUCAAUCAGGGCCCGCUUGGUCGAAAUUCGAGAUUCGGACCAAAACUUGAUCGAUCACCCAUUCACCCCCGAGCCCAAAUGUGUGAUUUGCUUUGAAAUCCUACCCAAUUUGAGGUCUAAAUCUCAAUUUAUAAAAUUUCUAAAUUCCACCCAAACCCCUAAUUUCUACCUUGAAAUUCAAAGAUUUGAUGCUAGAAAUUCAUGAAAAGUAAUUAAAAUUAACUGAAAACUAGUUAAGGAUGCUUACCAAUGAAUUUGGAAAGAAAAAGUUCUUCAAAAAUCGCCUCUAGAGAGCUUAGAGUUAAAAGAAUAGUGUAAAAUGAGCUAAGUCCCGAUUCUUUCAAACUUUUACCUGGCUGCAGAUAUUGCAAUUACGAACCCUUGUUCGUAAUUGUGAUGUCCACAAAUGCAAAACUGUGAAGUCGCAAAUGCUACAUAUACCUCACAUUUGCGAAGUCUUCAUAUCGCAAAUGUGGUGCAUACUUCGCAAAUGCUAAGUUGUUCUCACCAACCACUAUGUCGCAAAUGCGAUCCCAUACAGGUUCGCAAAAGCAAACUCUACUUUGCAAAUGCGAAGUGCCAGCCCCAGCCCAUGUUCGCAUUUGCGAGCCUGACAUCGUAAAUGCGAGACUUGCAACUUCACACCAGCAAUUUCAUAGCUUCAACACUUCCAAACCAUUGCACAAUGCAUUCGAAACUCACCCGAUCCCCUCGGGCUCCAAACCGAACAUGUACACAAGCAUAAUAACAUCCUACAAACAUGUCUGAUACAUCAAAUCAUCAAGAUAACAUCAAAUAACAAGAAUCGAUCAUCAAAACUCAAGAAUUUCGACUUGAAACUCAAUUUUCAUAAUCUUUCACAUAAUACACCGAAAUGCACUCGGGUCACCCCGGACCCCAACCAAACAUGCGUACAAGUUUAAAUUUUCAUACAAACCUACCGGAAUCAUCAAAAUACCGAUCCAAUGUCGUUUACCAUAAUUAUUGACUGUGGUCACCUCUAGCAUCAUUUUAAGUCAAAAAAUUUAAUUUUUUUCAAAAUCUCAUAUAAAGCUUUCUGAAAAGCCACAUGGAUCACGCACACAAAUUAAUAAACAUCAAAUGAAGUUAUGGGAGGUCUCGAAAUACAAAAAUUAAGGCUAACACUCAAAACGACGUAUCAGGUCAUCACACUCUUUAGCAUCCACUCUCAUUACAUAUUAUAUACUCAUACCUCUCUAAUUUUAUUGGAGUUAUAACUGUAAUAAUUAUUAUGAAAAAUAAUAUAACAAAAUAAAUCGUUAAUAGUAAAUGGUUUCCAAAGAAGCGUGCCAAAUUAAUAAAGGACGAGUAAAAGAGAACCAAAAAAGUAUUUGAAUAAAAAGUCAAUCAUGAGCUGAUGAUAUGAUGCUCAAUGGACGAGUCAAAUUAAGGAAUCCUCCAGAGUAGAAAGAGCCAGCCACGAAUCUCCCCUUCUAGAAAACAAAUUGCCCCCUCCUACGACUCAAUUUACAAUUCCAAACUGUUGAGGUGGCUUAACUCUCUUAUCAUACUUACCCACCAGUCUUAUUGUAGGGUGACACAUAAUCCCCUACUUCACAACUUUCUCGCCAUAUGGUCAAUUAGCAAUCACAAGAAUCUCACAACAAUCUUCAACUCAUGCAAUUGCUUUUUGUUUUUGUAAAAAAUUAUUAUUAUAUAAGUUUAAUGUUUAUGUAUUGGAAGAAAAAGUUUAUACAAUCAAAUAAUUACAAAUAAAUUUUUUGAUAAAAUGUUAAUUGAUAAUAUGAUAAAAAAUUUAAUUAACUUGCUAGUAUUAAAUACGGUGAUAGUAGUAACAAAUGGUUUUAUGUAACUCAAAUAAUAUUAAAUCUUUCAAAUGGCAAGUACCCUGUAAUAGCACCUUUUUCAUGGAAAAGGAAAUAGUAAUAGCAAUUUCGAAAAAAACAAAGCUCAUGAACAAGCCAUCAACCACGUCGUCACUCUCAUCAUUCUUUUUCCAAAUAUAAAUACAAGUCCAUACUUUUACAACUUCCCAGGAAGCAACAAGGAGAAGAAGAGAGGAAACAUAGGUGUUGGUUUCCAAAUAUGAAGUCAAGGCAACAAGAAAUGGAGCAGAAAAAGGGAAACAACAAGAAAGAAGAUGGGGUUUUAGUCCAUAGCCAAGUAAGAAAGAUAAAGCAAGAAACGGAGAAAAUGAAGGAUCACCCAUCUCUGCAACUGCAACAGGCGGAGAAGAAGACGGCACUUGGCGAGAUCACUGGAAAACAACAGCACCAUAGAUCACCUUUAGGCUUAGCUCUUAGAAACUGAUAACUUCUAGAGCUUCAUGUUUUUGGGAUUUUUUUCUUCUCGUUCUUCUUUAGUAGAAUAAAUCUAUAGUAGCAUCGCUAGUCUUUCUAGGUUCAAUCACACUCUACUGCCCCCCAGAUCCCCUGUAUAAUUGCAAAAACAAAAUCCUACUUCUUUCCUUUAGUUUUACUUUUAUUUUCUUGUAAGAAAAUUGUUAUGCAUAUUUUCUUUUUACUUUUUUCAAUAUUUUUCGUCACCAUAUUGUUUCAGUUUGAAUUAAGCACUACAAAAAGCAAACGUAUAAACCUGAGAAUAUGCUUAAGCUAUGAUUUCAAAUUUAAGGAAUAUCAUGAAUAUGAAGUUGUUUAACAAGAAAACGAAACGCCUUUCGAAUUUCAUUGGCUAACUUCGCUUUUCAUGUUCAACUCUCCAAAUUCUAGAAAUCAGGGGUACGUAAUUCCAAAUUUGGAGGGGGAGUUGUUCAUUUCUGCUGAAUGGG
rnacentral:lncRNA from 1 species